rnacentral:tRNA from 1 species
AGUUAUUUAGUAUAAUGAGUAUGUUUAACUUCCAAUUAAAUGGUCCUUCAUGGAAUAACUA